GAGAGAGAGGGAGGGAGAGAGAGAGAAGAAAAAAGAAAAGAGAAAAAAUCCUGCUUUAAACCUGACUUAAUUGAUACUUUUAACCCAGGUAAACUAUCCAAUGUGUGGAUUAGAAAUUGCAGGACCAGAAAGAGCACCGGACCUACAGUCAGAGGACCUAGACUCAGUCUCAGCCAAAUCCCUCUUUCUUUACUCAGUACGUGCCCUGGUCUGUGCUUAAUUUGUAAAAUGAGGCAACACAUGUUGACCUCAGAGGGUUGAGGUGAAGUUCAAAGAGAUGAUCUACGUAAAGCCUCUAUCACCAUGCCUGGUAAAAUGUAGGUGCCUAAUCAAAGCUAGUUCCCCAUUGUUCUUUCGUGGACUAAUGAAGAAUUUGGCCUCCCAAAUUCUUUACCUAGCAAGGGGUACAACUUUGUAAGUGAAAUGCAAAUCUCAUUUUAUUUAGCUACGGCCGCAAUUCUCAGAAAAGUUUUACAGUGGGUGGAAGAAAAAGGAGGCAAUUCAUGGUCCAUGGAGAAAUUGAAUUUACUUUUUUUUCUAUCCACACAUGGAGUGACUUUGAUUCUUUGUAUCUUGUCUAUGACCACCUGCAAACAGGAAAAAGGAUUCAUGUAUAACUUGUAUUUCUGAACUAUCACCAUAGGAUUAAGUAGUAAAGGAGAGAUGCUGCUUAGAAUGCUCAUUAAUAGGGUGGCAGCCAUGAAAAUGCACCUUUCAGACCUCCUGUGGGAGUUGAAUUGACCAAGGGCCCCAGCCAAGAUGCCUUGAAUCUGCCACAUUUUUGCACUGAGGCCACACAUCCUACAGGCUGUUCCCAGCCAAUGACUAAGCAAAACAGGAACCUUAAGACCAGUUCCUGCAAGUCAACUUCCUUUGACAGGACUCAAUAGGAAUGAAUGAUUGGUCUCUGCUCCAGGAUUUCUGGGGUUUAGCAGGAAUGAUCCAAACAGCUGGGGCUUGGCUCUCCUCUGACCAGGGAACAGAAGCAAUGGCUGACACCCUAACCAGGUAAGUCUUGAUGAGGAAUAAGAGGGAAGAACCCUGAAGCCACCCUGGCUGAUGAGUGCCCAGAGGAUCCCAAGCUACAAGACAAGGUUUGUGACUUCCGGGAGAACUACUGAGGUCAACUUCUCCUUUCUCCAAAGGCGGAACCUGAAGUUGGCUGGGUUUUUGGCUGCUUCAGAGGAGGUGACUCAUGGGAACUCGCACCCUUGUAUGCUGUUUAGCUUCUCGGAGCUUAUCAUGGCUAUUUCCCUAUUCCAAGGCCUGGACCAGGGCAAAUUGUAGGGGAGAGCGAGCUUCAGUAGUGACACAAUUGUAACACAAAGGGGAGGGGGGAAAAUAGGCAGAAGAAGCCACCUGCAUGUCCUCCGGUUGUCCCCCUUGGGUCCUAGCCCAGAACACACAAUGGAGGAAAGUCCCCCAGCCUAUCAAGAAAAGCCAGAGGCCCAGUGUGACAAGGCUUCAUUCAGUGGGUUUUCAUCUGAGGAGCUGAAUUUCCAGGAAAUUCUACAAGCACAGGAUCCAUGUCAGCAGGAUUUCCCUCUAAUUUUCCGGUUAUAUUUGGGAACAAGGCUUAAGAGGGCUUGAAAGAGUGACUAGUUGUGAACCAAAAGAGCAGAGAGGCAGGGAGGGAAGUAAAGAAGUGUCACAAAGCCUGCCUAGUGGGGCAGAAUGUUUAGACUGAGGUUGUAGAGAACACAAAGGAGACAGGAGGAAAGAGUGGGGGAAAGGAAGCCAGAGGGGAGGUAGAGUUACAGAUGGUGCAACUGUCACCAAGUCACUAAUUUGUCCUUCCCCAUCCCCUCUGGCAGACUUGUGCAUGCAGGUGUGUGAUCAGCACAGCCUUGCCUUACCCUCUGGGAAUCUGACUUUACUAUCCACUGGUCCUUCCAGUAAUCAGCUCAGGGUCCUCCAAAGGCUUCUCACUGCCCAUGAAGAGGAGCUCAGAUUCCUAAAAGGCUCUCCGUGCUCUGACUCAGCCUCCCAGGUCAACCCAAUCUCACCCCACUCCAGUCUCUUGCCAGUGCCUUCCCUGACACCAUCAAUAUUCUUCCUGUUGUCUCUAACUGAAAUGGCUCUUGCCUUUCAUUCCUGUGUCUUUAAACCUUCUCCAUCUCCAAAGCCCAGUCAAAUAAAGCCUUCUCUGUUCACCCUGGCCAAGAAAAAACCUCUUGAUCUGUGUCCCCAAGGGAUUUGUGCCUGUGUAAUGGCAGGUCUCAUGGUGUAUUUUAUACUGUAGGCAUUAUGCUGUUUUAUACUCUUUCCUGGACUCCAGACUGGCAGCUCUCCUAGGAAGAGGGCUGUCUGAUUUCUCGUUGAUUCCCUCAGAAGGCAUAGUGACUGCACUGCCAUAUGCUAAGCACAUGAUGAAUGCUGACUGGAUUCUAUUAUUAACAUUGCCGGUAAUGUUGAGUAUUCCACAAAUGCCCUGUUUCAUAAUCAGGCUGAUACCGUAGCUGAAGCUAAAUUAGUGUUUCUCUUCAUUUUUACCCUGCAAAGCAAAAGCAAAAUUUUCUUUUCUUUCCCUAAAUGACAUCUGGGGGGAAGUACAAGAGAAAAGCCUAUUUGAAUAGGACCUUUAAGUAAUUUGAGCAGAAGGCCUUGGACUUUCCACUGCUCAGAAUGGAACAGCAGAAGAUUCAACACAAACCAAAGAAGCAGAAGUGACAGCAAGCAAAACUGGGCCCCUGGACGGCAGUUCUCUGGGAGAGUCAAGGCGUCAGAAUGCACCAAAAAGCAAAGUGCAGCUGCUCACUCAGCCCGCUGCUCAGCCAACUUUACUGAGCACCACUGCAUGUAACACCCUGCACUGGGCUCCAGGGAUAUAUACACGGGGAUUGCAUUUUGCUCACGGGACAACGGCGGUGUCACAUGUACCACCAGAAAAUUCACCUGCAGAAGUAUUAAGAGCCACAAUACAAAAUGACAUGAAGUUCAGCCUAGGGGACAAGAGAGGCCUUGUAGAUGAGGCUGACGUACAAACUGGGACUAAUAGAAUGCCGCUAUGCAGGCGGCACAGCAUCUGUGCAGGUGUGCAGGAUCAUGAACUCUGCUUCUAAGGAAGCUGAAAUGUAGACUCUGGGGCUGUGGAUAAGUUGUAAAAGGGGAGCAGAAUUCCAGUUGUAGCAGCCUUCUGUACUGGAUCAGAAGUUCAGAACUGACUUUGAAAACUAAAAGGAACUUUUGAAGGGUUUUAAGCAAGA